ACGGGGACCCGCACAAGCAGAGGAGCGCGUGGUUUAAUUCGACGGCAAUCGAACAACCUUACCAGGGUUUGACAUGUAUCUGCAUAUCUUUGGAAACAUUGAUAGCCUUCGAGGGUGAUACACAGGUACUGCAUGGCCGUCGUCAGCUCGUGUCGUGAGAUGUAGGGUUAAGUCCCGAAACGAGCGCAACCCCUAUCCCAUGUUACAAGUGUCUUGGGAAACUGCCUCGGUAAAACGGGAGGAAGGUGGGGAUGACGUCUGGUCCGCAUAGUCCUUAUGUCCUGGGCUACACACGCGCUACAAUGGUCGGUACAAUGGGCAGCCAAGCCGCAAGGCGGAGCUAAUCCUUUAAAACCGAUCUCAGUUCGGAUUGUGGGCUGAAACUCGCCCACAUGAAGUUGGAUUUGCUAGUAAUCGUGGAUCAGCCAUGCCACGGUGAAUACGUUCUCGGGUCUU
rnacentral:rRNA from 1 species